rnacentral:rRNA from 1 species
UACAGAGGGUGCGAGCGUUGCUCGGAAUGACUGGGCGUAAAGGGCGCGUAGGCGGACGGCUUUGUCGGGCGUGAAAUUCCAGGGCUUAACCUUGGGGCUGCGUUCGAGACGGGUUGUCUAGAGUUUGGAAGAGGGUCGUGGAAUUCCCAGUGUAGAGGUGAAAUUCGUAGAUAUUGGGAAGAACACCGGUGGCGAAGGCGGCGACCUGGUCCUUGACUGACGCUGAGGCGCGAAAGCGUGGGGAGCAAACAGG